AUGUAUCAUGAGGAGAACCUUGGUAGAGUCCAAGACAAAGAAGCUCAUGAGAUAGAGGUUGAGAAACUGAAGAAGGAGCUGGAUUAUCUUGCCAAUCAGUACAGUCAGCUUGUGGAUGAUGUAUCCAAGCUGUUUGAUUACCAGGAUGGGCAGAAAUCCCAUGACAUGGAUUACACAAGCCAGGCAAUCAAUGAACUUAAGAAGAAGAAGCAUCAGCUUGAGGAGCAGACAAAGAUUGAGGUUCAAAUGGAGAAGCUUAAGCUGAAGAAAGAACAGAGGUGCAUCCUGCAGAGUCAAGAUGAUAUCAUUCAAAACACCAGGAAGGCCAUGAAGGAGAUACAAGUGGAGAGAGACCUCCUUAAAGAAGAGAAGAAGAAGCUGGAGCAUGUCAUUUCUGAGCUACUGAAGGCUGGUCAUGGGUGCAAGGAAAAGCUGGACAAAAUCAAAGAAGUUGUCAUGGAGGAGUGA
rnacentral:rRNA from 1 species